rnacentral:rRNA from 1 species
GACGAACGCUGGCGGCGUGCUUAACACAUGCAAGUCGAACGGAAAGGCCCUGCUUUUGUGGGGUGCUCGAGUGGCGAACGGGUGAGUAACACGUGAGUAACCUGCCCUUUACUUUGGGAUAACUUCAGGAAACUGGGGCUAAUACCGGAUAGGAGCUCCUGCUGCAUGGUGGGGGUUGGAACGUUUCGGCGGUUGGGGAUGGACUCGCGGCUUAUCAGCUUGUUGGUGGGGUAGUGGCUUACCAAGGCUUUGACGGGUAGCCGGCCUGGGAGGGUGACCGGCGACAUUGGGACUGAGAUAGGGACCAGACUCGUACGGGAGGCAGCAGUGGGAAAUAUUGCACAAUGGGGGGAAGCCUGAUGCAGCAGCGCCGCGUGCGGGAUGACGGCCUUCUGGUUGUAAACCGCUUUCGCCUGUGACGAAGCGUGAGUGACGGUAAUGGGUAAAGAAGCACCGGCUAACUACGUG